CAUAAAGACCCAAGUGAACAGCG
rnacentral:piRNA from 1 species